rnacentral:rRNA from 1 species
UACGUAGGGUGCGAGCGUUAAUCGGAAUUACUGGGCGUAAAGCGUGCGCAGGCGGUUUUGUAAGCCAGAUGUGAAAUCCCCGGGCUUAACCUGGGAAUGGCAUUUGGGACUGCAAGGCUCGAGUGCGGCAGAGGAGACUGGAAUUCCUGGUGUAGCAGUGAAAUGCGUAGAUAUCAGGAGGAACACCGAUGGCGAAGGCAGCUCGCUGGG